UACGUAGGGGGCAAGCGUUGUCCGGAUUUAUUGGGCGUAAAGAGCGUGUAGGCGGCUUGGUAGGUCCGCUGUGAAAACUCGAGGCUCAACCUCGAGAUGUCGGCGGAAACCGUCUGGCUAGAGUCCGGAAGAGGAGUGUGGAAUUCCUGGUGUAGCGGUGAAAUGCGCAGAUAUCAGGAAGAACACCUAUGGCGAAGGCAGCACUCUGGGACGGUACUGACGCUGAGACGCGAAAGCGUGGGGAGCGAACAGG
rnacentral:rRNA from 1 species